rnacentral:rRNA from 1 species
UACGUAGGUGGCAAGCGUUGUCCGGAUUUACUGGGCGUAAAGAGCGCGCAGGCGGUCGGAUAAGUCGAAUGUGAAAGCCCCCGGCUCAACCGGGGAGGGUCAUUCGAUACUGUUCGACUCGAAGGCAGGAGAGGGAAGUGGAAUUCCCGGUGUAGUGGUGAAAUGCGUAGAUAUCGGGAGGAACACCAGUGGCGAAGGCGACUUCCUGGCCUGUUCUUGACGCUGAGGCGCGAAAGCUAGGGGAGCAAACGGG